UGGGGAAUAUUGCACAAUGGGGAAGACCCUGAUGCAGCGACGCCGCGUGAGCGAAGAAGUAUUUCGGUAUGUAAAGCUCUAUCAGCAGGGAAGAAAAUGACGGUACCUGACUAAGAAGCCCCGGCUAACUACGUGCCAGCAGCCGCGGUAAUACGUAGGGGCGAAGCGUUAUCCGGAUUUACUGGGUGUAAAGGGAGCGCAGGCGGUCUUGCAAGUCUGAUGUGAAAGCCCGCGGCUCAACCGCGGGACUGCAUUGGAAACUGUAGGACUUGAGUGUCGGAGGGGCAAGUGGAAUUCCUAGUGUAGCGGUGAAAUGCGUAGAUAUUAGGAGGAACACCAGUGGCGAAGGCGGCUUGCUGGACGACAACUGACGCUGAGGCUCGAAAGCGUGGGGAGCAAACAGGAUUAGAUACC
rnacentral:rRNA from 1 species